UCCCUGGUGGCUCAGACGGUAAAGAAUCUGCCUGCAAUGCAGGAAACCUGGGUUCGAUCCCUGGGUUGGGAA
rnacentral:tRNA from 1 species